AACAAGAUCAACUCUAGUUGAGAGUUGGGAGUGGCCUUAUAUGCCUAGUGUGUAUUUGGCUUGAAUUGAUCGAGUUGAUGAGCUUCCCAGCGCGGCUCAAUGUGUGCUAGCGAGACAGUCGUCCCGAUCUCACAUUAUCGCUGCGUUGCAGAGUUCUGACCACAGCUCGCUAAACUUUCUAUCAA
rnacentral:misc_RNA from 1 species